rnacentral:rRNA from 1 species
AUUGAACGCUGGCGGCAUGCCUUACACAUGCAAGUCGAACGGCAGCGGACCUUCGGGUGCCGGCGAGUGGCGAACGGGUGAGUAAUAUAUCGGAACGUACCUUUCAGUGGGGGAUAACGUAGCGAAAGUUACGCUAAUACCGCAUAUUCUGUGAGCAGGAAAGCAGGGGAUCGCAAGACCUUGCGCUGAUUGAGCGGUCGAUAUCAGAUUAGCUAGUUGGUGAGGUAAAGGCUCACCAAGGCGACGAUCUGUAGCGGGUCUGAGAGGAUGAUCCGCCACACUGGAACUGAGACACGGUCCAGACUCCUACGGGAGGCAGCAGUGGGGAAUUUUGGACAAUGGGCGCAAGCCUGAUCCAGCCAUGCCGCGUGAGUGAAGAAGGCCUCGG